rnacentral:rRNA from 1 species
UACGGAGGAUGCGAGCGUUAUCCGGAUUUAUUGGGUUUAAAGGGUGCGUAGGCGGAUCGCUAAGUCAGUGGUCAAAUUGAGGGGCUCAACCCCUUCCCGCCAUUGAAACUGGCGAUCUUGAGUGGAAGAGAAGUAUGCGGAAUGCGUGGUGUAGCGGUGAAAUGCAUAGAUAUCACGCAGAACCCCGAUUGCGAAGGCAGCAUGCCGGCUUCCUACUGACGCUGAAGCACGAAAGCGUGGGGAUCGAACAGG